CCUACGGGUGGCAGUAGUGAGGAAUAUUGGUCAAUGGACGAGAGUCUGAACCAGCCAAGUAGCGUGAAGGAUGACUGCCCUAUGGGUUGUAAACUUCUUUUAUAUGGGAAUAAAACGUUCCACGUGUGGGAUUUUGUAUGUACCAUAUGAAUAAGGAUCGGCUAACUCCGUGCCAGCAGCCGCGGUAAUACGGAGGAUCCGAGCGUUAUCCGGAUUUAUUGGGUUUAAAGGGAGCGUAGGUGGAUUGUUAAGUCAGUUGUGAAAGUUUGCGGCUCAACCGUAAAAUUGCAGUUGAAACUGGCAGUCUUGAGUACAGUAGAGGUGGGCGGAAUUCGUGGUGUAGCGGUGAAAUGCUUAGAUAUCACGAAGAACUCCGAUUGCGAAGGCAGUUCACUGGACUGCAACUGACACUGAGGCUCGAAAGUGUGGGUAUCAAACAGGAUUAGAUACCCUUGUAGUC
rnacentral:rRNA from 1 species